GACAAACGCUAGCGGCGUGUAUUAGGCAUGCAAGUCGCACGGUCACCUCGCAAGAGGUGGCAGUGGCGGACGGGUGAGUAACACGUGGGUAACCUGCCUCGCAGUGGGGAAUAACUCGCCGAAAGGCGAGCUAAUACCGCAUACCACUUUCGGUGAGAAUCCGACGCAGUAAAAGUAAGCAAUGCGCUGUGAGAGGGGCCCGG
rnacentral:rRNA from 1 species